CAUGCAAAUAGUUACAAUCAGACCUCAUCGCGCACAGAUGUAAUUUGUAGAGGAUGCUUUUGGUGAGGUGCCUUCCGACUUCCCUGCAACGGAACGCCAUACAGGGAGAGAGCCCCUUCUGGUUGGACACCGAUCCUCUGUAAAGCUCCUUCCACSAUUCAAGAAGUUUGGGAAUGCUGAUCUAAAUGGGAGGUAUAUGUCUUCUAAAGUUAAAUACCGGCCACAGACCGAUAACCAACAAGAAACAG
rnacentral:rRNA from 1 species